AUAUGUGGAAAUGUUUUUGAAACUCUAGAAGAGUCAAAAACUAAUUAAUUGAUGUAGGCAUAGAUCACGAUUUUUUUCUUAUUAAAAUGGAUCAAACGGAUUUCUUUUGUAACAUGCACAUGUGAUCAAAUAUGACUAAAAUUCACAAGUUUGUGUAUGCUAUUAUUUCCUUUCUUUUUCUAAUUCUAUUUGCAUCUCAAGUCAGUGCCUGCGAAUAUGAUUCUCAAUGUCCAUGUUGUCCUCGUAUUGGAACGUGCAGCUCGAAUGUUUGUGACUGCAGCUAUUAUGGUUAUUAAGUUGAAAAUGAAUAUGUAUGAAAUAAAUUCCUUCGAAAAAUGUAACUCCUUCAAUAAAUUUUAUUAUUUGAGAAGUUAGGACAUUGUAUUAGUCGAUAAAUGUAAAAAAAUAAUAAUUACAAGUCAGAAUUUUUUAAACUAUCAUGAUUUAUUAAUGCUAUUAUAUAUGAAAGAUAGAUAAGCUAUUAGUGAUGUGAUAAUUUUGCAAUUUGUUGGUGAGUUUAGAUGGAAUUUUUGUUUAGUUUUGUAAAAAUUGAUUAUGUAUUGAAAUUUAUGCGACAAAA